GAUGAAGAACGCAGCGAAAUGCGAUACGUAAUGUGAAUUGCAAAUUCAGUGAAUCAUCGAGUCUUUGAACGCACAUUGCGCCCCCUGGUAUUCCGGGGGGCUUGCCUGUCCGAGCGUCAUUGCUGCCCUCAAGCACGGCUUGUGUGUUGGGCCCCGUCCUCCGAUCCCGGGGGACGGGCCCGAAAGGCAGCGGCGGCACCGCGUCCGGUCCUCGAGCGUAUGGGGCUUUGUCACCCGCUCUGUAGGCCCGGCCGGCGCUUGCCGAUCAACCCAAAUUUUUAUCCAGGUUGACCUCGGAUCAGGUAGGGAUACCCGCUGAACUUAAGCAUAUCAAUAAGCGGAGGA
rnacentral:misc_RNA from 1 species